rnacentral:ncRNA from 1 species
UCGUCGAACGGAAGAAACCGGUGCAAUUCCGGUGCGGUCGCGCCACUGUGACAGUCAGACCUUCCGGCGA